rnacentral:rRNA from 1 species
AUGAACGCUGGCGGCGUGCCUCAUACAUGCAAGUCGAGCGAACAGACGAGGAGCUUGCUCCUCUGACGUUAGCGGCGGACGGGUGAGUAACACGUGGAUAACCUACCUAUAAGACUGGGAUAACUUCGGGAAACCGGAGCUAAUACCGGAUAAUAUAUUGAACCGCAUGGUUCAAUAGUGAAAGACGGUUUUGCUGUCACUUAUAGAUGGAUCCGCGCCGCAUUAGCUAGUUGGUAAGGUAACGGCUUACCAAGGCAACGAUGCGUAGCCGACCUGAGAGGGUGAUCGGCCACACUGGAACUGAGACACGGUCCAGACUCCUACGGGAGGCAGCAGUAGGGAAUCUUCCGCAAUGGGCGAAAGCCUGACGGAGCAAUGCCGCGUGAGUGAUGAAGGUCUUCGGAUCGUAAAACUCUGUUAUUAGGGAAGAACAAAUGUGUAAGUAACUAUGCACGUCUUGACGGUACCUAAUCAGAAAGCCACGGCUAACUACGUG